rnacentral:tRNA from 1 species
GGCCGCCUGGCGAAAUGGCAUCGCGUCUGACUACGAUUUCAUUGUUAUCAGGAGAUUGCAGGUUCGACCCCUGCGGUGGUCA